CACAUUAUUUGUUUAAAGUUAGGUUCACUAAACACGUUCCCCUUUCAUAUACUUCUGUGUAAGUAAUAAAACAAUAUAGUGCUUCAGUAGUACUGAAUACUUCAGCCUAUAUUUCUGCACAACUAAGCCCAAUUGUGUGAGGUUUGCUUGUUUCUUGAUUCUGCUCUAUAAAAAUGGGAGGACUCAAGGUACCAGGAAGUUUAUUCAUAGCCAGAAAAUAACAAAAAGAUUUCUUAUUCUCCUGAAAUAGGAAACUUUGUGUUUUCAGUCAAAAUAAUACACAAUUUGAAAGGAUUUUGUUUUUUAAAAAGUAGUUGAGAAUUUUGAUGAAAUUCAUUUAUUUCAGUAGAAUUAAACUAUAA
rnacentral:lncRNA from 1 species